ACUCCCUUUAAAAACGGUCCCGCGAGGCCGGAAAGGGAGGGAUUCGGCACCUGUAGGGGAGGAUUCCCCGGGGAGCCGAGAACCUCUGCGCCGGCGCAGAGGUUUUUUUAU
rnacentral:sRNA from 1 species